CAGAGAAAGAUAAGCAUAUUGCUUAAAUGCACUAGAAAUCAUCUUGGAUAAAAGCUCCAGCCAAAUGCACUUAUUUUAUAUAUUGUAAUACGUACUACUAUCAUGGUAUAACUUUUUUUUCAUAUCGUGAUUUAAGAUUCUGCUGGUCAUACUGCUGACUCCUAGCUUGAGCCCUUGACUCCGCCCCUCUGUGGUGCAGUGUGUCAAAGUGGAAAUCUAGCUGACCUAUAGUGUGUGUUGUUACGAUGCAUGUGGGUGUUCUGUGUAUCCAUGCAUGUGUGUGUUCUUGAGUAGAACCCAGUUUUGAGGAACAGCCCAGAUCUCAGUAUGUGGAACCAGAACCUGAACCUGAGCCUGAGCCUGAGCCAGAAUACGAAGAUGUUCAAGUAGCCAGUGAUCAUUAUGAAACGCACAUAGAGUCUCAGCUGCCAUAUGAGGCGAUAGUGGAACCAGACAACAUCUAUGAAGAGCCUGCACCGGUGGAGGAACAGAAAACGUAUGAUCAGGCUGGUGACCGUGGUGUUUGUGCCAGGGCUCUGUAUGACUACCAGGCUGCGGAUGACACCGAGAUCUCAUUUGACCCUGAUAAUAUCAUUACCAGCAUUGAGAUGAUCGAUGAAGGCUGGUGGCGAGGAUACGGUCCGGACGGUCAUUUUGGAAUGUUUCCGUCCAAUUACGUUGAACUUAUCUAACACAGCUCAACCUAUCCCGCACCCUCCAUCGGAGUCGGCCUGCGUUGAUUUGUCCUGCGCAGAUUCAACAGAUCUCUGGGGCUUUGAGCAAAAUGGGAUCGGUAUAUUUGAUUGAAAAGACUGAAACUAAAAUCAUGCACCAAAAGAGUGGUAAUCAUGUGAUCGGGGGUAUUUAAACUCUUGAAAGUGAUCUUCUGUAUACUGUAUUGGUAGUUUUCUUUUGUUCGUAUUAUUUCAUUUCAAGCUGUCCAUUAAUUUCACAAAACAAUACUGAUGCUGGCAGACGCCCUCAGCAGAGACGACCCAAUAGUUGCAGGAAUCCUUGUAAUAUGGACGGGAUGAAAGUCAUGCUUGUGAUGUUGUUCCCGUCACAUCUUUUUAGACUGAACCUUUGUGCGGUUUUUCUUUUUAGCUUUUCAAACAUUAAGAUUUCAACAUAAUAAAGGAAACAUUUUUCUGUUUUCGAGAUGUUCAGCGCAGCUAAGUUUAUAGUUUGAACGUAAUUUUGCCUUGAUUUUGUCCUCUCCACAAGACUGGGUUGGACUGCCUUGGUUUUUUUUCCACAGAUGUCUUGGUACAGUGUUUACUGAGAAAUAGACGUGACAAGUUAAUUUGCUGUUUCCUAUAGUCAGCUUUGGUUUUGAUGGUAUUGUCACCAUAGCUGUUAGCUUCAGUGCUUAAGAAUCAGCGUGGGUUUAACAUUUCUUUAAGACUUGUAUACCACAGCUUUCCUGUCUACUCAGAAAUGUGGAAAAUAUUAAUACUGUGAUUUUUAGGUUUCAGGGAUCCGUCAUUCUGUCAUCUUACUGCCUUGGGGUCUCGGGUUGGGUCUGUAUUACACGUGUGACGCCUGUAUGCCGAGUAUUUGAGUGGAUGCACCAAGACUCGAAUAAAAUCACAUCAGUUGUUUCUCCACUCUUUUGAUUUUUAUUAAUCACGUACUUGCAUAUACUGUCAGUGGGGAGGUAGAGUAUUUUUGUGGAGAUUUUCAAGAUUUAUUUUAAUAAAGACCCAUAUGGAAACAUCAAAAGAUCAUAAAAUCGUUUGACAGUGUGGUGUUAGACACGUUGUUAGAGGUCAUUGUGAAUAUCUAACAAGUCUGAACAAUGUUGUUACUUACAUUAAAAGAAUAAAUUAAAGAGUUUUAAAAUGGA